rnacentral:rRNA from 1 species
AUGAACGCUGGCGGCGUGCCUAAUACAUGCAAGUAGAACGCUGAAGGCGGAGCUUGCUCUUCUGGAUGAGUUGCGAACGGGUGAGUAACGCGUAGGUAACCUGCCUGGUAGCGGGGGAUAACUAUUGGAAACGAUAGCUAAUACCGCAUGACAACAGUUAUUGCAUGAUAACUGUUUAAAAGGGGCAACUGCUCCACUACCAGAUGGACCUGCGUUGUAUUAGCUAGUUGGUGAGGUAACGGCUCACCGAGGCGACGAUACAUAGCCGACCUGAGAGGGUGAUCGGCCACACUGGGACUGAGACACGGCCCAGACUCCUACGGGAGGCAGCAGUAGGGAAUCUUCGGCAAUGGACGGAAGUCUGACCGAGCAACGCCGCGGGAGUGAAGAAGGUUUUCGGAUCGUAAAGCUCUGUUGUAAGAGAAGAACGAGUGUGAGAGUGGAAAGUUCACACUGUGACGGUAUCUUACCAGAAAGGGACGGCUAACUACGUG